rnacentral:tRNA from 1 species
GGGGAUGGACUCGAAGGUAGCUUGUCCUUAAGCGACUGAGAGUUGAGAUUUAAAUUAAGGACUACGCUCGUAGAAGCCCACUGAAGCAGCAUCGGACGAGGGUUCGACUCCCUCCGUCUCCACCA